UACGGAGGGUGCGAGCGUUGUCCGGAGUUACUGGGCGUAAAGGGUGCGUAGGCGGCCGCGCGCGUGGCGGGUGAAAUCUCUCGGCUUACCCGGGAGGGUGCUUGCCAGACGGCGUGGCUUGAGGGACGGAGAGGGGCGUGGAAUUCCGGGUGGAGCGGUGAAAUGCGUAGAGAUCCGGAGGAACACCGACGGCGUAGGCAGCGCCCUGGCCGUUUCCGUGACGCUGAUGCACGAAAGCUGGGGGAGCAAACAGG
rnacentral:rRNA from 1 species